rnacentral:tmRNA from 1 species
GGGGGCGUUCCGGUUUCGACUAGAUAUUGGAAACGCUGGCUGCAUGUAGAGGUUGAUCGGUUGGCCUCUCAAAAAAGCCGUUCAAAACAAAUAAUUGC